rnacentral:lncRNA from 10 species
GGAGGUCAGCUCAGCUCAGCUCAGAUGAGGUCUGCCCAUCUCCCAGAAUAUGGGCAACUCCAGAUGUGUAUGUGGAGACAAGUUGCACUGCUGAUCAUCAGCAGACAAGUUGCACUGUUGAUCAGCACCUGAACCAGGUGGUGCCGAGAAGGAGACAGAGAUGAUGAAAUAAACAUCAGCUUGGUAAUUACUUCUUAAGCCUGAUGAAAAUAGAGUUGACCGGUUGCAGCUGAAAUGUAGUUAAGACUGUGGAUAAUCAUCCUUUAUCUCCUCCUGGUCUCAUAAGCACUGAUGCUUGAGAGGUGUCUGGAAGAUUAUGCAGUGCUCUAAAUUUAUCACAUAUUCAUGUUAAGAAGAGUUUAAUGCAUUUUUCUGUGUAUAAUGUGUAACCAGAAAUAAUUGCAACAGUGAAGAUUUAUUGAAAGAUUAUGUGUCAGGUAUGAUCUUAAAUGCUUUAUGUACAUGGUUUCAUUA